rnacentral:lncRNA from 1 species
AACAUGAAAAUAACAAUUGUGUUAUCAACCGCAUGAGGUUCAGGGCCAGCAGUAUAAGUUUCAUAGCCGGCUUUAUGAGCAUAGCCCGGCUAUGAAACUUAUACAGCCGGCAGUAAAGCCCAUAUGUAUAGCUAGCUAUGUAACUUACUAGCUGUUCCGGGCUCGCUAGCGAGCCCGGAACAGUAAGCCAAUGAGCUAGCGCCCCCUGGACCCCCAGUUCCUCGCUUCGCAAAGAGAGGGUCGACACGCGAUCGCUUGUCGACAAUGUAAGUGGAGAUAUAAGUAAAUUAUUGGCUACAAACCGUGACCUGAGGAAAUUUAGAUAAUAAAUCGAAAAACAGAAAUGACAUCAAUUGCUUAAAGAAAAGUGAAAGUCAACAUAAGUUGACUAAAAAAACCCAGCACACACAAACUCAUCAGACGAGGACAUGCUGAUUAUUGUGCGUCAUUAUUAGCACGAAAUUCAUUUUCCAUUUCAUUUCAAUUGGAUUGCCACCAGCACAUUAGCAGAAAAGGAAACAACCGUGGGAUCAUCGACCCCGAUGAAAAAAUAUGGCUAUGAGCGAAUCCACGAAGAGUUCCGGUUAUUUUCUUUAGUAUUUUUACAUUUUGACCACCACAAAACCAUAUUUACACAUAUUUUAUGAGAACUACUACCGUCAUUAAAAAUUAGCUAAAUGUUGCCCGAUUUCAAUGGGGAGUAGAGCUCCUUCCUGCUUGAUUAAGGGGCGCUCUUGACCACUCUACGACCCAAAAAGGACACGAAAAUCGCGGCGCAUUUUUUUAGUUUUUGAGGAUGGGAGGAAUGGGAGGGGCGUAAUUGGCGACUGUUGACUUUUAUCACCCGCCGCACUCGUUGCCAACCUCACUAUAUUCCAAUGAGUUUUGUUGCAAAUAGUCCACGGUUGGCCGUAAAAAUAUGUAAACACGUUGUAAUGAUAAAUUUAAGUUUUCGUGCAGUAUGCAACCAAAAGUGUCUUUUAAGUCAUUUUCGAACACAUGAAUACACCACACAAAGUGAGCUGCACAUGGAUGUGGUCAAGGAAUGUCUACCUUACUAUAGUGGAUGGAGCAGGAUAGUCAAUUUAAAAUCGAACAGGAUCAACUAUCACCUCCCGCCCACCAUCUUCAUCUACAACAAGAGCCACAUAGAAACAACAAAACUUCAAAGUUGAUAAAAUUAAGAUUUCCAAAGAUUGGCGCAGACCGGCAGACGUAGAAUUUCGAAUUCGUCGAAUUUUGGCGCAGACGUCGAACUUUCUUCCCCGGGUCCAAUUAUCAUGCCGAUUGAUCGACUGAGAUCGUUUUUUUCUAUUUUCAUGAGAUCCUCAUUUAUAGGGACGGGUUUACGUGUUUCCCACCAACAUGCCGACUGCAGAAAAGGUAUAAGAGAUCUCUUCGUUUUUAUAGUGAUAGUCUAUGUUAAAGCUUGGUUUCAAGCACAUUUGCCCAUAAUUAUUCUUUUAUAUUUGUCACCAGCACCAGGACGCCAAGGCACAUCGCAUCAUGCGCUACAUCGCUGUCACCAAGACUCCUAGCGUCUGUUGGUGACCACCUAAUAAUCACGCGACAUCAUGAUUUGCAGAUCAUGAGAACUCUUCUGGAGUACGAAUAGGUUGACUUUGACAUGGCAAGAGCAGCGCAGCUCAAGUUCAUAAAUCAUCUAUGGUACCUAACCCCUGAGUGCGCUGCUUUAUCAUUUUUCGACGAUAAAGUUUCAUAUGAAAUUCAACUCAAAAUGGUAGAUGCUUUAUCACGAUAAGGCACUUUUGACGAUGUAAAGAGAGUCGUACUCACAAAUUUUAGUGAGAUUGAAAAUAGGGAAGUUUUUGAUUUUGUAUCUAAGGGGACUAACAAUUCUUUUAAAAGGUUAGCGCUUCCUAAAAGUUUUCUUAGAGUGCAUCCAAAAACCUGGUCCAAAAUUAAGAUUUAUCAAAAAAGUCUUGAAGUAGUCAAGAAAAUUAAAUGUGUCAACAAUGUUGCCGAACGAGCUAUUACACUCAUUUCUGAUUAUCAUGAAAAACUUACUAUGAAUGAAGAACAACGUCAACAUAUAAUAUAAACAGUUGGUGAUUUCAGGAAAAAAUUCCCCAACGUGAGGAAGCAAACAGCUCUUAAGACAUGAACUUGAUUGAAUGCCGCUGAAGAUGUACCUAUAAAAUUUUCAACGGAAAGGAUUUUCUUGGGUAUACUUUUUACCCUGUUGCAAAGUUGAAACGCAUCGCAUGGAGGCCAAGCAUUAGUGUGCGCGUACUUUUUACCUCUUUGUAAAAGUCAAAGGGCAUGUAUAGUAUAAUUCAAUUUUUAGCAGGCGCGUAGUUUUUACCUUUUUGCGAAAACACAUGGAAAUGGCAUAAAUUUGGAAGCUUAUUUUGCCAGGCUCCCAGUGAAGCUCAAAGGUCCAGAGAUGGCCUCAUAAUAAAUUGUAGCGGGAAAUGCUCAUUCAACUUUCUAGAUCAUUGGAUUUCCUUUUGUUUCAGGGACCUACAAACUUCUCGGACGAUGAUGACGAUGGUGAUGGGAACCGUGUCAUAAAAAUCAAAGUACCAAAAAAAAAGAGACCGGUACCGCCGGUACAUGUUUUGCAAUACAAUGUAAGUCAUCUUCAUUUCUGGCGUUUAAAAAUGGAGUGUUUGAAUGGCAUAAAUUUGGAAGCUUUCUGCCAGGCUCCCAGUGAAGCUCGAAGGUCCAGAGAUGGCCUCA